rnacentral:pre_miRNA from 11 species
UUCUUAUUUGUUAUGAUUGUAAGACCCCCCGAAGGGAGACCCUCACUCAAAUCUCGGGAAUAGUGCGCACCCAGUGAGGCACCGAGACCG